CAGAGAGAGCAUGAAGAAGGGGCACAGAUCAUUCCAUGGACCUCAUCAUAUGCACCGAACUGCGUUGUCAUGGCCAAUGAUGUGAACUGGAGCUGAAUGAACUGGUUUUAAACUGCAAGGACUUGAGCAUCGUUUUCAGAAGAUAAAGAUUGUAAGAGCGAGCAACACAAAAUAUGAGGUUUGACUUUCCUGAAUAUACAGAGCAACCCCACUGCUGCUGCUGGAGUCACUGCUGCGUUACGGGAUUGGAGCCUGGCCACAGGUGUGGGAAUCCUGGGAGAGCUGAGCAUCUAGAAAAAUCUCCAUGA
rnacentral:lncRNA from 1 species